rnacentral:rRNA from 1 species
GACGAACGCUGGCGGCGUGCUUAACACAUGCAAGUCGAACGGAAAGGCCCUGCUUUUGUGGGGUGCUCGAGUGGCGAGCGGGUGAGUAACACGAGAGUAACCGGCCCUUGACUUUGGGAUAACUUAAGGAAACUGAGGCUAAUACCAGAUAGGAGCUCCUGCUGCAUGGUGGUGGUUGGAAAGUUUAGGCGGUUGGGGAUGGACUCGCGGCUUAUCAGCUUGGUGGUGGGGUAGUGGCUUACCAAGGCUUUGACGGGUAGGCGGCCUGGGAGGGUGACCGGCCACCUUGGGACUGGGGACCGGCCCAGACUCCUACGGGAGGCAGCAGGGGGGAAUUUUGCACAAUGGGAGGAAGCCUGAUGCAGCAACGCCGCGUGCGGGAUGACGGCCUUCGGGUUGUAAACCGCUUUCGCCUGUGACGAAGCGUGAGUGACGGUAAUGGGUAAAGAAGCACCGGCUAACUACGUG